AUGAGGGUGGGCGCUCAUGAUCUGAAGCUCAAGGGGCUCAAGAGGUCUCUCAAGGAGCACAAGGCCAGGCUCUACAUCAUCCGUCGAUGCGUCGUGAUGCUCCUAAGAUGGCAUGAUUGA
rnacentral:rRNA from 1 species